AUCACAGAUAAAACUUCGGAGGGGAGUAAGUGUCUGUCCCCUCUUCUCAUUCACAUUUUUUCUUUCUUUCCACUGUGACCAAACAGAGAGAAGAGUCUCCAUGGCGGAUCCCUACUACCCAUAUACUACUCCGGCAGCUACCGACGGAGCAAGUAUUGCGAGGACCAGCUUUGCUGGAUAUAUUCCAACUGAGCCUUCAAAUUCUACUGAACUUCGGGGUAUUGGAUCAGAUUACCUGCAAAGAGACAUAGGCUUGUUUUAUAGUGCAGAUGAUACUUUGGGAUCUAGGGUUCAUUCUGAGCCUGUUAAGGGUUAUUCACCUCUCGCAGAUCCUGACCUGAGUAAAAAACGAGAUAUGGCACCAUUAGGCAUUAGUCAUGGUGUUUCUGAUGUGAACAGUGAAAGAGCAUCAUCUAAAAACAGUUAUGAUGGUCUGCCUAUUUCAGCAGCGGACUCAAACAUUCUGUUUGUGGGUGGACUUCCAAAUAACUGCACUAGAAGGGAAGUUGGGCAUCUUUUCCGCCCCUUUAUUGGCUAUAAGGAUAUCAGAGUUGUUCACAAGGAGCCUAGACGUUCAAAAUUUCUAGAAUUGCACGAUUCUACCCUUCUGCAAUGCCUUGGGAGUUUGUCCAUGCUUAGAAUUGUUGCUGAGCAAAAUCGAGCGGUGACAAGGCUAUGACUUUGUGCUUUGUGGAGUUUGUUGACUCCAAAUGUGCUCUCACUGCCCUGGAAGCCCUGCAAGGCUACAAGUUUGAUGAUAAAAAGCCCGACUCGCCAACCCUAAAAAUACAGUUUGCGCACUUUCCAUUCCGUCUACCGUCUGAUCAUGGCAAUAGCUUAACAACAUGACACAGACGGCUGGACAUUCAUUUCUUGGGUGAUAAUGGAUUUUGAUGGUGCUCAGAUGAACUCUAUCAGAUAGAGGUAUUCACUUUUAUACUCCGAGUUUUAGGUUAGACCUUCCUAGCUGUUGAAUGUAGGAUAUGGAUAUGCAAGAAGUCUGGCAAUAGGACAAUUUUUAAUCUGAAAUAUGUUGAUAGAAUUUUCAUUAUAUUUUGGCCCCUAUUAUCAGUUAGCCUCUCCAAUCACCGGAUUAAGGCCGUGGCUUGUACAUUUGAGUUUUGACCCACUUAUAUCUGACAAUGGUUGAAGUUCAUGUAUUCGGCUGCUCUCAUUUUAAUCUUUUAUGCCCAAGCAGAUAGUUGUAACUAUGGUCAGGACCUGUGAAAAUAAUACUAAUAGUUCGGAGUUGGCUCACUAU